GAUGAACGCUGGCGGCGUGCCUAAUACAUGCAAGUCGAGCGAACAGACGAGGAGCUUGCUCCUUCGACGUUAGCGGCGGACGGGUGAGUAACACGUAGGUAACCUACCUAUAAGACUGGGAUAACUUCGGGAAACCGGAGCUAAUACCGGAUAAUAUUUCGAACCGCAUGGUUCGAUAGUGAAAGAUGGCUUUGCUAUCACUUAUAGAUGGACCUGCGCCGUAUUAGCUAGUUGGUAAGGUAACGGCUUACCAAGGCAACGAUACGUAGCCGACCUGAGAGGGUGAUCGGCCACACUGAGCCUGAGACACGGUCCAGACUCCGACGGGAGGCAGCAGUAGGGAAGCUUGCGCAAUGGGCGAAAGCCUGACGGAGCAACGCCGCGUGAGUGAUGAAGGUCUUCGGGUCGUAAAACUCUGUUAUUAGGGAAGACCAAACGUGUAAGUAACUGUGCACGUCUUGACGGUACCUAAUCAGAAAGCCACGGCUAACUACGUG
rnacentral:rRNA from 1 species